UGACGGUACUUGACUAAGAAGCCCCGGCUAACUACGUGCCAGCAGCCGCGGUAAUACGUAGGGGGCAAGCGUUAUCCGGAUUUACUGGGUGUAAAGGGAGCGCAGGCGGCCAUGCAAGUCAGAAGUGAAAGCCCGGGGCUCAACCCCGGGACUGCUUUUGAAACUGUAAGGCUAGAUUGCCGGAGAGGUAAGCGGAAUUCCUAGUGUAGCGGUGAAAUGCGUAGAUAUUAGGAGGAACACCAGUGGCGAAGGCGGCUUACUGGACGGUAAAUGACGCUCAGGCUCGAAAGCGUGGGGAGCAAACAGGAUUAGAUACCCUG
rnacentral:rRNA from 1 species